AACGAACGCUGGCGGCAUGCCUAACACAUGCAAGUCGAACGAGACCUUCGGGUCUAGUGGCGCACGGGGGCGUAACGCGUUGGAACCUUCCCUUAGGUUCGGAAUAACUCCCCGAAAGGGGUGCUAAUACCGGAUAAUGUCUUCGGACCAAAGAUUUAUCGCCUUUGGGUGUGCCCGCGUUGGUUUAGCUAGUUGGUAGGGUAAAAGCCUACCAAGGCGACAAUCCAUAGCUGGUCUGAGAGGAUGAUCAGCCACACUGGGACUGAGACACGGCGCAGACUACUACGCGAAGCAGCAGAGGGGAAUAUUGGACAAUGGGCGAAAUCCUGAUCGAGCAAUGCCGCGUGAGUGAUGAAGGCCUUAGGGUUGUAAAGCUGUUUUACCCGGGAUGAUAAUGACAGUACCGGGAGAAUAAGCACCGGCUAACUCCGUG
rnacentral:rRNA from 1 species